rnacentral:rRNA from 1 species
UACAGAGGGUGCAAGCGUUAAUCGGAGUUACUGGGCGUAAAGCGCACGUAGGCGGAUAUAAAAGUCAGAUGUGAAAUCCCUGGGCUUAACCUAGGAACUGCAUUUGAUACUAUAUGUCUAGAGUAUGGUAGAGGGAAGUGGAAUUUCCGGUGUAGCGGUGAAAUGCAUAGAUAUCGGAAGGAACAUCAGUGGCGAAGGCGACUUCCUGGACCAAUACUGACGCUGAGGUGCGAAAGCAUGGGGAGCAAACAGG